rnacentral:rRNA from 1 species
GGGGGCCCGCACAAGCGGUGGAGCAUGUGGUUUAAUUCGAUGCAACGCGAAGAACCUUACCUGGUCUUGACAUCCACAGAACUUUCCAGAGAUGGAUUGGUGCCUUCGGGAACCGUGAGACAGGUGCUGCAUGGCUGUCGUCAGCUCGUGUUGUGAAAUGUUGGGUUAAGUCCCGCAACGAGCGCAACCCUUAUCCUUUGUUGCCAGCGGUCCGGCCGGGAACUCAAAGGAGACUGCCAGUGAUAAACUGGAGGAAGGUGGGGAUGACGUCAAGUCAUCAUGGCCCUUACGACCAGGGCUACACACGUGCUACAAUGGCGCAUACAAAGAGAAGCGACCUCGCGAGAGCAAGCGGACCUCAUAAAGUGCGUCGUAGUCCGGAUUGGAGUCUGCAACUCGACUCCAUGAAGUCGGAAUCGCUAGUAAUCGUGGAUCAGAAUGCCACGGUGAAUACGUUCCCGGGCCUUGUACACACCGCCCGUCACACCAUGGGAGUGGGUUGCAAAAGAAGUAGGUAGCUUAACCUUCGGGAGGGCGCUUACCACUUUGUGAUUCAUGACUGGGGUGAAGUCGUAACAAGGUAACCGUAGGGGAACCUGCGGUUGGAUCACCUCCUUA